AGUCACUGACAUUAGAUACCCCGGUAGUCCAGGGUGUAAACGCUGCAGACUUGGUGUUGGGGCCCUUUGGGGCAUUCAGUGCCGGAGAGAAGUUGUUAAGUCUGCUACUUGGGGAGUACGUCCGCAAGGAUGAAACUUAAAGGAAUUGGCGGGGGAGCACCGCAACGGGAGGAGCGUGCGGUUUAAUUGGAUUCAACACCGUAAAACUCACCAGGGAAGACUGUUACAUGAAAGCCGAGAUGAAGACUCUGCUAGAUUUUCAG
rnacentral:rRNA from 1 species